AGAUAGUUGGAUGAACGUGCACAAAAAAGAAUGGGCUGCAUGCUGCUUCAAAAUCCUCUUAUGAAACAAAGAUUUCGCCGCAUGAUCCAGAGAAUGCAGGCAUGUUUAAUCUACAUAUUGUGUUUUACUAUCUGAUCCAAUAGACAAGGGAACAUAAUUGCUUGAUUAUUGAAAGAAGAGUCAUCUCUCUGAUUGGCACGAAGAAAGCUAAGCAAUAUCGAGAGAUGGUAAGUCGCUAAGAGAAUCUGCUCAAGAUGGUCAUGAGUUCACUUCAGAAAAUCAGGGAAUGUCAGCAGAUGUUAUCCUAAAGCAUUUUUGGCAACAGAAGAAGAACUUCUUGCUCUGGUAAAGAAGCAAUCGCAGCACAAACCACAACUAGCUUCUCCUUUUCCUUGCCGUUGUCACCUUGCUCCGUCUUAUUCCUCAAAUCGUGAUAAUCACAGAGCAGUCGCUGUUGUCCUUGCUAUAUCGGACGUAUGUGUAGUGAAGGGAAAUUAGUGGAUGGUGCAGCAAGGGGCUGAUGGUUAGGAAUGAGGUGGAAACAAAAUUAUUCAAGAACACAGGGGAAUAGAGUUACAAGUUGAGGCAUUAUGUUUGAGGAUACUUUUAUAAGACAAUUAAGGGAAGACCAUUUGAGGAUUAUGUUUUUUUUUUUUUUUUACGGGAAAUGCUAUUUAGCCUUUCAUGCUCACAUCUCAA